rnacentral:rRNA from 1 species
GUCGUCAGCUCGUGUCGUGAGAUGUUGGGUUAAGUCCGCAACGAGCGCAACCCUAUUGCUAGUUACCAUCAUUAAGUUGGGGACUCUAGCGAGACUGCCAGUGAUAAACUGGAGGAAGGUGGGGAUGACGUCAAAUCAUCAUGCCCCUUAUGACCUGGGCUACAAACGUGAUACAAUGGCUGGAACAAAGGGAUGCGAAGCAGUGAUGUGGAGCGAAACCCAUAAAAACAGUCUCAGUUCGGAUUGAAGUCUGCAACUCGACUUCAUGAAGUCGGAAUCGCUAGUAAUCGCGGAUCAGAACGCCGCGGUGAAUACGUUCUCGGGGUUU